rnacentral:rRNA from 1 species
GGAAAGCCGCCGUGCUUAAAUGCAAGUCGAACGGUGACGCGGGGGCAACCCCGGCGACGAGUGGCGAACGGGUGAGUAGCGCAUCGGAACGUGCCCAGUAGUGGGGGAUAGCUCGGCGAAAGCCGGAUUAAUACCGCAUACGACCCACGGGUGAAAGCGGGGGACCGCAAGGCCUCGCGCUAUUGGAGCGGCCGAUGCCCGAUUAGCUAGUUGGUGAGGUAAAGGCUCACCAAGGCGACGAUCGGUAGCUGGUCUGAGAGGACGACCAGCCACACUGGGACUGAGACACGGCCCAGACUCCUACGGGAGGCAGCAGUGGGGAAUUUUGGACAAUGGGGGAAACCCUGAUCCAGCCAUGCCGCGUGCGGGAAGAAGGCCUUCGGGUUGUAAACCGCUUUUGGCAGGAACGAAACGGCGCGUGCUAACACCGCGCGCUAAUGACGGUACCUGCAGAAUAAGCACCGGCUAACUACGUGCCAGCAGCCGCGGUAAUACGUAGGGUGCAAGCGUUAAUCGGAAUUACUGGGCGUAAAGCGUACGCAGGCGGCUGUGCAAGACAGGUGUGAAAUCCCCGGGCCCAACCUGGGAACUGCAUUUGUGACUGCAUAGCUAGAGUCCGUAAGAGGGGGGUGGAAUUCCACGUGUAGCAGUGAAAUGCGUAGAGAUGUGGAGGAACACCGAUGGCGAAGGCAGCCCCCUGGGAUGAGACCGACGCUCAUGUACGAAAGCGUGGGGAGCAAACAGGAUUGGAUACCCUGGUAGUCCACGCCCUAAACGAUGUCGACUAGUUGUCGGGUCUCUACAGACUUGGUAACGCAGCUAACGCGUGAAGUCGACCGCCUGGGGAGUACGGUCGCAAGAUUAAAACUCAAAGGAAUUGACGG